rnacentral:sRNA from 1 species
GACUGUCUUCCUCAUUGGCGCCGUGCAGAGAGGCGGAAUGUUCAACUCCUAACUGCGGCGGAAGCGUGGGAGCCGCGCGGGCCGCUGUCGUCCCAACCCCCGCCGCCCUCGUCGCGCGCGGGGCCUCCGCGCCCCCGGCUGCUGCUCACGCCCCGCCCGGGAGCCAGGCAGAAAUACUCAGUGUCCUCAGUCACAGAAACAUCAUCCAGUUUUAUGGAGUAAUUCUUGAACCUCCCAACUAUGGCAUUGUCACAGAAUAUGCUUCUCUGGGAUCACUCUAUGAUUACAUUAACAGUAACAGAAGUGAGGAGAUGGAUAUGGAUCACAUUAUGACCUGGGCCACUGAUGUAGCCAAAGGAAUGCAUUAUUUACAUAUGGAGGCUCCUGUCAAGGUGAUUCACAGAGACCUCAAGUCAAGAAACGUUGUUAUAGCUGCUGAUGGAGUAUUGAAGAUCUGUGACUUUGGUGCCUCUCGGUUCCAUAACCAUACAACACACAUGUCCUUGGUUGGAACUUUCCCAUGGAUGGCUCCAGAAGUUAUCCAAAGUCUCCCUGUGUCAGAAACUUGUGACACAUAUUCCUAUG